GAUAGUCGUAUCUCUCGGUUCACCUUAGGGCCUUGGACGUCGCGUUUUCUUGAUGAACUUUGCUCGUAAAUCUGUUGAAAUUCUUACCAUAUCAAGUCAUGAACAUUGGGAACUAUUUCAUCAAAACUGUUGCACGUUUAAACGGGUGAUAAUCUGAAAGGCUUGGCCAAGUUUGUGUAAUAUCUAGUUAGGAGUACACCAACACAAGAAGUAUGAACCUUUGUUCAUUUCUGUUGUCACAUGGCCGGAAAGAAGUUCGAACUAAAAACUGCAGUGUUCAUCAACAAACGAUUUACUGUUGGGCCAUGCAUUUAGUAACACCAUAAUACCAGUGAAUUCUACGAAACUUCCGAAUACAGACUUUCUUAAAGCAAAGUACUUCGGUCGGUGUAAUCAUGUUACAAGUAUGGGUGGCUGCCGCACCCAGCUGAGCAGCCGGCACCCAGAACCAAGCACCCAGCCCCCGGCAGUAAGCUCCCAUCUAGCCGAGCUUUAAGAGGCAUCGAUGCUGUUUUGUUCAGUAAGAGGGAGGCCCUCAUGGGACAGUUGUUACCAGAUGGGAGUUAAUGAUCUAUGGAUAUGUGGUUUGUGGACGUAAACAUUGGAGUCUUCGCUUGAGUCAUCGCCGGAUUCAGCUUUGGGAUCUGAGGUCAUUUGGUUCAAUCAAGUCUUUGCAGCAAAGGUUAAGUAUCGGGUAAAGUAUUAGGUAAGGUUUACCAGGGCAGUUGUCAGAGAAAAAUACACUUUAAAAAUUCCAUACUAUUUACGGUGCUUUACCGUAGCUAUAGGGUGCCAAGUCAAGUGCAGUGGACAGUGGAAGUUUUGUAAGUAAGGGAUGGUUUGCAACACUUCCACUGUGAAAUUUACUGCACUUUACCUGACACCAUAGCUGCCAGGUAAAGCACCAUAGAUUAUACGGUUUUUGUUUACAGUGUAACUUUCUCCCCACCUAGUCUCUAACUGAAAGUUUCUCUAAUUUGUCCCUCCACAGGCCAGCUGAUACCUUGCUUUGUCGCUAAAGUUGAUGUUGUGAAAACCAAUCGAGUACAGAUGUCAGCUCUUGGACACCGUAGAUGACACCGUUUUGAGUAGUCUCUUGUCGAGUGGUGAGUACAACCCGGACCUGUUUAUAGCUUGGAUGAGAGCAUCGCUGGAAGGCAGCUGCAAGGAGAACAUACCUCGUGCUAAAGAAGAACUGUCAAGUCUGGCCAGGUGACUUUCUGCUACAAGUUCAACCAUUCAAGUGACGUAGCCCAUCCCAAACCAACGCUCUUUGGACAGGUGUAAUGAGUCAUCGAUCAACACACCACUUGCUUGAGCCGAUGACUUUGAAGAUGACUUUCACCCAACGUCGAUGUCAUCAACUGAAGAAGAACUGUACCAAGUCUGCUACCUGACUCUGACUCGCUACUUGUUGAGGCUAUAGCCAACCAUUGCUAUUUGAACUCGGUGCCACAAUCUGAAGAACUGUGUAUAUUAACCGACUCUCUGCUACAGUUUAAGUUCAAACGCUCAAUCAACAUGUUGAGGAUUAUAGCCAACCUACGCUUGUUAAAACAGUGUCACCAUCUGAUGAAGAAGAAACUCUUAUCAAGUCUAGCUACCAGACUCGCUGCUAUAAAGUUCAAACGCUCAAGUGACAUGUUGAGUCUAGCCAACCAUCGCUUGUUGAACUCGGUGUCAUCUGAAGAAGAACUGUGACACCGUUUAAGAUUUAAAGACAUUAAUCUAGCUACACCAUUUUCCUACCACCACACUGGAUGAACCAGGAUUGUAGAACCGUUUGACCUGUGGAAUUUCAUCAAGAAUGAAGACUGGUAGUUAGCUUCAAGCUUUUUAUCCUUUGAACGUAUAUCGUCGAAAGAAUAGCUAGCCCGCUAAUUUUGGAACACUGGUUCUGUAAAUAAAAACUCUAUACUUGUAUAUAUUUACCAUCGGAAGAUGGAAGCAAUUUAUUAAGUAUUUUUUGCCUUCCAUGAGAGUAAAGGCAGUUUUUGUAUUUAGUCAGUAAAAGCUAGGUUCGAUUGCAAUUUGGUACUUGCUGACAUAACACAUUUAAAAUUUGGGAGAAUAAUUUUCUUCUUCUUUGGUGAAGACAUUAAUUUUUGAUUUUGAGAUUGAGGGAGUUGUUUUAUUCUUCAGUUGUGAAAAGAAGUUGGGAUGAAAGUUUGCUAUUAAUUUGAGAUUAAAAGGGAGUUGUGUUAUUUUUUAGUUGUGAAAAGAAGUUGGGAAGAUUUUUUUCUAUUUGAGAUUAAGGGAGUUGUGUUAUUUUCCAGUUGUGAAAAGAAGUUGGGGAGAAAUUUUGCCAUGUGGGAUUAAGGGAGUUGUGCUAUUCUCCAGU